rnacentral:rRNA from 1 species
GAGUGGCGGACGGGUGAGUAAUGUCUGGGAAACUGCCUGAUGAGGGGGAUAACUACUGGAAACGGUAGCUAAUACCGCAUAACGUCGCAANACCAAANAGGGGGACCUUCGGGCCUCUUGCCAUCGGAUGUGCCCAGAUGGGAUUAGCUAGUAGGUGGGGUAACGGCUCACCUAGGCGACGAUACAUAGCCGACCUGAGAGGGUGACCGGCCACACUGGGACUGAGACACGGCCCAGACUCCUACGGGAGGCAGCAUG